CAGUUUGUUUGGCCUGAACAAGACCGACUAUUAUUAAACGGAGCCAACAACUCUAUGUGAACUUGGUAAAGAAAUAAUCAUUUGCUCCCACCUUUCUAACAACAUGGGCAGGGAGAAGAUUCAGAAGGAAGAAGCCCUGACACAGGCUGGCAGAAGCUGCUCCUCCUGAGAGAUCUUCUAUGCCCAAAACAUUAACACCAGAAAGCUAACUGAGAAGCAGCAGGCAUAUGUCUGUUUUUAGCAAUGUCUAGGAUCCAGAAACCACAGGGGACAUUCAUUCUAUGAAAAUGACUCUAUGUCCCAGCAGGUUCCCAGCACAUUCUAUGUCACACUCUGGCUCUGAGAAGUACUUUCAGUUUCUGCACAGCAGUAUCUAUCCACCUUUCCACUGCCUGUCAUGUACAGGAGAAACACUGUAGGAAUAAGGAUAUCAACUAGCCAUAGGUAAGAACUUGCACUUCGGAAUACUUAUAAUGAAAA